rnacentral:rRNA from 1 species
UACGGAGGGUGCAAGCGUUAUCCGGAUUCACUGGGUUUAAAGGGUGCGUAGGUGGGCAGGUAAGUCAGUGGUGAAAUCUCCGAGCUUAACUCGGAAACUGCCGUUGAUACUAUUUGUCUUGAAUACUGUGGAGGUAAGCGGAAUAUGUCAUGUAGCGGUGAAAUGCUUAGAUAUGACAUAGAACAUCGAUUGCGAAGGCAGCUCGCUACACUAUGAUUGACACUGAGGCACGAAAGCGUGGGGAUCAAACAGG